rnacentral:rRNA from 1 species
CCUACGGGAGGCUGCAGUGGGGGAUCUUGCACAAUGGACGAAAGUCUGAUGCAGCGACGCCGCGUGGAGGAAGAAGGUCUUCGGAUUGUAAACUCCUGUUAAGUGGGAAGAAAUAUUUAUGAGUAAUAUGCAUAAAAGAUGACGGUACCACUAGAGAAAGCUCCGGCUAACUUCGUGCCAGCAGCCGCGGUAAUACGAAGGGAGCAAGCGUUAUUCGGAAUCACUGGGCGUAAAGGGCGUGUAGGCGGUUGAUUAAGUCAGUUGUUAAAUUCCUCAGCCUAACUGAGGCACAGCAAUUGAAACUGGUCGGCUAGAGUGCAGAAGAGAGAAGUGGAAUUAUCGGAGUAGCGGUAAAAUGCGUAGAUCUCGAUAGGAACACCGAUGGCGAAGGCAGCUUCUUGGUCUGUUACUGACGCUGAAAUGCGAAAGCGUGGGGAGCA